GGAAGCUCGAAGAAGAUGAUAUGUAUAAAGUGCUGCCAGAAGACUCCUCAGAGAAGCUUGGAGAAGAAUUGCAGUGGUACUGGGAUAAAGAGGUGCAAAAAGCAAAAAAGAGAGGAAAAAUGCCACAUUUAACAAAAGCCAUUAUUCUUUGUUACUGGAAAUCCUAUUUAGUUUUUGGAAUUUUCACAAUGAUUGAGGAAACCCUCAAAAUAAUUCA